GGGUGAGUAACACGUGAGCAAUCUGCCCAUCACAUCGGGAUAACUUCGGGAAACCGAAGCUAAUACCGGAUACGACCACUUCAGGCAUCUGACGGUGGUGGAAAGUUCCGGCGGUGAUGGAUGAGCUCGCGGCCUAUCAGCUUGUUGGUGGGGUAAUGGCCCACCAAGGCUUCGACGGGUAGCCGGCCUGAGAGGGUGACCGGCCACACUGGGACUGAGAUACGGCCCAGACUCCUACGGGAGGCAGCAGUGGGGAAUAUUGGACAAUGGGCGAAAGCCUGAUCCAGCAACGCCGCGUGAGGGAUGACGGCCUUCGGGUUGUAAACCUCUUUCAGCAGGGACGAAGCGCAAGUGACGGUACCUGCAGAAGAAGCACCGGCCAACUACGUGCCAGCAGCCGCGGUAAUACGUAGGGUGCAAGCGUUGUCCGGAAUUAUUGGGCGUAAAGGGCUCGUAGGCGGUUUGUCGCGUCGGGAGUGAAAACUCAGGGCUUAACCCUGAGCCUGCUUCCGAUACGGGCAGACUAGAGGUAUGCAGGGGAGAAUGGAAUUCCUGGUGUAGCGGUGAAAUGCGCAGAUAUCAGGAGGAACACCGGUGGCGAAGGCGGUUCUCUGGGCAUUACCUGACGCUGAGGAGCGAAAGUGUGGGGAGCGAACAGGAUUAGAUACCCUGGUAGUCCACACCGUAAACGUUGGGCGCUAGGUGUGGGACUCAUUCCACGAGUUCCGUGCCGCAGCUAACGCAUUAAGCGCCCCGCCUGGGGAGUACGGCCGCAAGGCUAAAACUCAAAGGAAUUGACGGGGGCCCGCACAAGCGGCGGAGCAUGCGGAUUAAUUCGAUGCAACGCGAAGAA
rnacentral:rRNA from 1 species